GACGAACGCUGGCGGCGUGCUUAACACAUGCAAGUCGAGCGGUAAGGCCUCUUCGGGGGUACACGAGCGGCGAACGGGUGAGUAACACGUGGGUGACCUGCCCUCAGCUCUGGGAUAAGCCUGGGAAACUGGGUCUAAUACCGGAUAUGACCUUUCCUCGCAUGGGGUUUGGUGGAAAGUUUUUUCGGCUGGGGAUGGGCCUGCGGCCUAUCAGCUUGUUGGUGGGGUGAUGGCCUACCAAGGCGACGACGGGUAGCCGGCCUGAGAGGGCGACCGGCCACACUGGGACUGAGACACGGCCCAGACUCCUACGGGAGGCAGCAGUGGGGAAUAUUGCGCAAUGGGCGGAAGCCUGACGCAGCGACGCCGCGUGGGGGAUGACGGCCUUCGGGUUGUAAACCUCUUUCGACCCCGACGAAUUUGGACGGUAGGGGUAGAAGAAGCACCGGCCAACUACGUG
rnacentral:rRNA from 1 species